rnacentral:rRNA from 1 species
GACGAACGCUGGCGGCGUGCCUAAUACAUGCAAGUCGAACGCACAGUUUAUACCGUAGCUUGCUACACCAUACACUGUGAGUUGCGAACGGGUGAGUAACGCGUAGGUAACCUGCCUGGUAGCGGGGAUAACUAUUGGAAACGAUAGCUAAUACCGCAUAAUAUUGAUUAUUGCAUGAUAAUUGAUUGAAAGAUGCUAUUGCAUCACUACCAGAUGGACCUGCGUUGUAUUAGCUAGUAGGUGAGGUAACGGCUCACCUAGGCGACGAUACAUAGCCGACCUGAGAGGGUGAUCGGCCACACUGGGACUGAGACACGGCCCAGACUCCUACGGGAGGCAGCAGUAGGGAAUCUUCGGCAAUGGACGAAAGUCUGACCGAGCAACGCCGCGGGAGUGAAGAAGGUUUUCGGAUCGUAAAGCUCUGUUGUAAGAGAAGAACGGGUGUGAGAGUGGAAAGUUCACACUGUGACGGUAUCUUACCAGAAAGGGACGGCUAACUACGUG